CAAUAAUAAUCAAUAGUCAUUCCAUUAGAAGAUAAAUUUAAUUCAUUUGUCGUUACAUCCUAUCGAUUCCUAUUUCGAUCCCACAUUGCCACGAGUGGAUAAAAGCACGAUAUGUUAUAUGUGCCGAGAAAGGGAAUUGUUGUUUCUUUCAAGAGGAAACUUGAAAUCCGAUUAAAAGCUUCGCAGGAGUGGCAGGAAUCGGCGGUGGUGGCAAACUUUCAACCUAUUAUCCGACAGCAUUUGCUUGCUUCGCCAUCGAAACUUCGAUUCUUGAUCUGGGAACAGAAAUUGAACAGAAAUUAAGAAGAUGGAAUUAGCUGAGAUGGCAACAACGGCCGAAAUUGCUUGCUUCGACCAUUUUUUGGUGCAAGCGUUGAAAACGGGCCAAGAGGUCGACGUAAAUGAUGGACAAAACUUUAUUUACUGGGACGAGGAUCACUCUUCGGAUCUCGAUGAAACUUUUCGGAUAAAUCAAAGGAGGAGGAUAAAAAAUAUACAAAAAUUUCGCGAGGAUUUGGCUUUUCACGCGGGCGGACGAAUUAAACGGAGAUUAAAAGGGAUUGGAAGGGGCAAAGCGGAAGAUAGCUCCACUUAAGCGGACGUUACACCUUGCGCUGGAGGACAUGCACUUGCGUUUUGAGGUUGCACUCUUUCGCACGUUCAUUAGGGUCGUCAGUUUACCUGGCGGCGAAGCGCGCACACACGCACACACUGGCCCGCUCGUUACGUCUUGGCCCUAUCCGAAGUAGGGUUCAGGACGUUCACGACAAACCUUGCCUCGCCCUCUCUCUCUCUCUCUUCCUUUUCGACGCUCAACCCUUUUCAUCCGCUUCUUUUUGAAUUUUAAAUUAAUAUCUUGUUUCCCAGUAUGAUUAUUUGCGCUUUGUCGUUGAACCUGUUGUUACCUUGUGACGCAAAUUUAUUAGUUACGAUUUUAGCUUGUUGGUUGACCGUUUUAUAUUUCAUUCACGGGGAAAGUUCGAAACAACGAAUAAUACGAUAUACGAAAUAAAUAGCGCGUGUGAGAGAAAAUAACAUGGGUUUUGCCCGAGUAAUUUCAUACAUAAAUUAAGCAUCGCACGAUAGAACAAUGAUCACGUCACAUCUCGCAACACGAAACACGACCUGUUGGAAUAAAUGAAUAUUCGAAGAGCGUUGUAAGAAUUGCCAGGCUAAUCGUCGCAAAUAUAUCCCGUGUAUUUACAUAUUCGGGUCAAGUUGGUUAUCAGCUGUCUAGGUGUAACGUACAUUCAGAAUAUUCGCUUCGAAUCGGCGAAAGGAAACGGCGAUAGGAUACGAAUCUCGUCCAUUUCGAUAUUUUGAAUGUUUUGAAUUAAUGCAAUAACAAGGGUAAUAAUAAAUCGUACAAGAACCGGAAAUGCAUGGAUCAAACGAUCAGAUAAGGGAAAUCCGGAAGGAAAACUAGAGGAAGUUAGGAGAUAAAAACUUUGGUGUGAAAAAUUGGAGUUGAGCGUGGCAAUGUCACGAAGCGUGACGAAAUAAAACAGGAGGGCUGUUUAAAAACAGCGGAGGAGAUGGAGAGAGGGGGAAUGCCAUCUUCAGCAGAAAUCGGGGAAAGUAACGACAAACGGGAAACGAGAGAUCCUCCCAGGAGGAAGGGAGGAGGAGAGCAAGAGGUUGGUAACGUGGAAUUCUGGACUCUUAAGGAGAACCGGAAGAGACGAGGCACGAACGAGCACGGUUGUGUGAAAAUAAAAUGUUAUUUAAGAA